CAGAACCACAAAAUGGUGGCAUGGUGACCAGCCCCACUCCCACCAGCCAGUGAUGUAGAAGCCCAAUACAUUUCAGCGCUUGAGGCAAACCACAAAAUGGUGCCUCCGCUGCCAGAAAAGGAGGCGGGGAGGUGAGUGAGGAUCUAUAUCAGAAACAAGCGGGGAAUAAAGAUCUACAUCAGGAACAAAGUGGGAAUCUUUACCCAACAGCUGAAGAGGGAAUCAAAGGCUGGCACUGGGAGUGGGGGGUGGGGUGUUACUCUCAAUCAUGCUGGGAAGGUGCAGAGUCCAGGAGACCCCAUAGGACAGCCCCUGCUAUUUCCUCCCUAGGGUGAGAGGAGACCAGCAGCACCAAGAAGUGGGCUGAAGCCAUCACUGCUACUGUGGCAGCGGCAGCAGCAGCAGUAGCAGGCAGGGGUUUUCUGAGGCAGGGGCAGAGGGGCAGUCCACCCUGGGUGCCAUUCCAAAGGAGGGGUGGAAAAAAAGGCUGACCCCCGAUCGGCGGCACCUUCCAGGGUGCUCGCCACACUCCCCGGGAUGCACGCCACACCCCCUCAGACGCGUGCCGCUCCAGGUACUGGAGCAGGUUGCUUCGCCUCUGGCAGCAGGCAAUGCAUUCCUUGGAGGAUGUAUUUGGUUUGAGUCCAGGCUGGCAGAUGUCUUCCUCUGCCUUUUGCCUCCCAAGUAGCAAAGACAGCAUAGCUAGCCAAAAGUCGAUGCUGCAGAUCCUCCAUCCAGUGGGGCGAGAUUCAAAUUCACAUAUGCAAGGAACCAUGGAUUAGCCACUCAUCGCCUUCGCCAUGCAAACCCCUGACCUGGGUAGGCUCAGACCACCUUAUUUCUGGUUAAGAGCCAGACAUGCUAACUGAUUGUGCCACAGAGAGCUGAGUGGUUCACCACCACCGCCACCAGCCUCCCUUGACCUGAAGUUUAUCUGCCAGAGCUGAAUAGAUGAAAAGCACCAGGCCAUUUUCCUGCCAUCCAGCAGAGUGGCGCAGCGGGAGCUUGCUGGGCCCAUAACCCAGAGGUCGAUGGAUCGAAACCAUCCUCUGUUAGGUGCCGAUGGCAUUUUGCAUUUCCGUUAGACCAGGGGUAGGCAACCUAAGGCCCGUGGGCCGGAUGCGGCCCAAUCACCUUCUCAAUUUGGCCCAUGGAUGGUCCGGAAAUCAGCAUGUUUUUACAUAAGUAGAAUGUGUUUAUUUAAAAUCAUCUCUGGGUUAUUUGUGGUGCCUGCCUGGUGUUUUUACAUGAGUAGAAUAUGUGCUUUUAUUUAAAAUGCAUUUCUGGGUUAUUUGUGGGGUAUAGGAAUUUGUUCAUCCCCCCCCCCCCCCGAAAUAUAGUCUGGCCCACCACAUGGUCUGAGGGACAGUGGACCGGCCCACAGCUGAAAAAGGUUGCUGACCCCUGCAUUAGACAGCACGCAAAAGAAAACGGAGAGAGGCAUUUGCUUCCUGCUACUGGCUGGAAUGCUUUGUGUUAAACAAUUCCAGAUUCUUCAGUUCUCUUCCAGCAACAGACUUAGAGCUAACUGCCUUCUCUCCAGACAGUGAUGGUUCUGUGGAAGGCGGCCAGCAGAGAAGUCUUUUCCUUCAAGAGGCCAAGUCCUCAGUCUCUGCCAUGCCUCACUGGAGCAACUCCAUGCAGUAUCUUUGCGACAGAAUGAAAAGACCCCCAUUUAGUGUGCCAAUGGUAUAGAGGCAUUUUGUGAGGUUGCCAAUCUUGUAGAACCUGUCUUCAAGUUCUACACUUUAUUCUGACUCUUACCUUUUCCAGGAGUCAAGACAGCAGAACUAAGUAAAAGUUUCCAUCCUGAAAUCCUGCAUCCCAAGGGGAAAAGGGCCGACGAGGGUGGGAUUCGAACCCACGUGUGCAGAGCACAAUGGAUUAGCAGUCCAUCGCCUUCACCACUCGGCCACCUCGUCUAUGAAUCCUGCCCGCAGCCGUCCCUGGGUGGGCUCGAACCACCAUCCUUCUGGUUAACAGCCAGACGUGCUAACCCAUUGCGCCACAGAGACCUGGGCAGCUUUCCUCCUUUCAUCUGAGGUUUUGUGGAUGGAGGUGUUCAUAAGACAGGCGAGCAGAGCUGGGAAAUGACACUGAGCCAUCUGAAAUAGCCUCCCACCACCAGCAGGUGCUUUUAACUUGUCAGUGAGAAAUGAUGAGCCAGUACUGCUUCAUAACAUCCAUCUCUUCCCUAUUUUCCAGGGAUGUCCCUGAUUUAGAGAAUGUCCUGGUUUUCCUUGGGAUGUUCCUAUUUUCACUGGAGAAAUGUUGGAGGGUAUGGAGUUAUCCAACCCCAGAACCAUCUAAAGGCAAUCCUGUAUAGAGAAGUUAAAAAGUUUUAUGUUUUAUUAUGUUUUUAUUUUUGUUGGAAGCUGCCCAGACUGGCUGGGGCAACUCAGUCACAUCUGUGGGGUAUAAAUAGUAAAAUAGUCCUCUAUCGUCCCCAUCUCCUUGUGCCCUCCAUCUUUCCCAACAUCAGGGUCUUUUCCAGGGAGUCUUCUCUUCUCAUGAGCUGGCCAAAGUAUUGGAGCCUCAGCUUCAGGAUCUGUCCUUCCAGUGGGCACUCAGGGCUGAUUUCCUUAAGAAUGGAUAGGUUUGAUCUCCUUGCAGUCCAUGGGACUCUCAAGAGUCUCCUCCAGCACCAUAUUUCAAAAGCAUCAAUUCUUCGGUGAUCAGCCUUCUUUAUGGUCCAGCUCUCACUUCCAUACAUCACUACUGGGAAAACCAU